UACGUAGGGGGCAAGCGUUGUCCGGAAUUACUGGGCGUAAAGCGCACGUAGGCGGAUCGAUCAGUCAGGGGUGAAAUCCCAGGGCUCAACCCUGGAACUGCCUUUGAUACUGUCGAUCUGGAGUAUGGAAGAGGUGAGUGGAAUUCCGAGUGUAGAGGUGAAAUUCGUAGAUAUUCGGAGGAACACCAGUGGCGAAGGCGGCUCACUGGUCCAUUACUGACGCUGAGGUGCGAAAGCGUGGGGAGCAAACAGG
rnacentral:rRNA from 1 species